AAAUUUUCUUCCGUUCGAUUCUGGAUCUUCUACGAUAAACUGAAUUUUAUCAAUGAUUGAUCGAUCGAGUCAAGUUAUUCGGUUGCUUUAGUUCGAAGAAAUUCUGAUAAAUUUCAGUUAUCUGGUCUAACUGAUUCCCUGAACUCCCACAAGUGUGUAUAUACAUGGCUAUAGGUUGUUCUAGCGUUUCGAUCACGAUUCCCGUGAUCGGCUCUUCUGAUGGUGGUCGGUUUAUUCUACAAUUUAUUCGUCUUAGAGUUUCUUAGCAGUGAUUGCUGACUCUGUAAUGCAAUCUAACGACCAGAUUGAGAAGAAGAA